AUUGAACGCUGGCGGCGUGCCUAACACAUGCAAGUCGAGCGGUAACAGGUGUAGCAAUACAUGCUGACGAGCGGCGAACGGGUGAGUAAUGCUUCGGAAUCUACCUUAUGGUGGGGAAUAACUAGCCGAAAGGUUAGCUAAUACCGCAUACGUCCUACGGGAGAAAGCAGGGGAUCGCAAGACCUUGCGCCGAUAGAUGAGCCGAAGUCGGAUUAGCUAGUUGGUGAGGUAACGGCUCACCAAGGCGACGAUCCGUAGCUGGUCUGAGAGGACGACCAGCCACACUGGGACUGAGACACGGCCCAGACUCCUACGGGAGGCAGCAGUGGGGAAUAUUGGACAAUGGGGGCAACCCUGAUCCAGCGACGCCGCGUGUGUGAAGAAGGCCUGCGGGUUGUAAAGCACUUUUAGUGGGGAUGAAAUGUGCAGGGUUAAUACCUCUGCAUUUUGACCUAACCCACAGAAAAAGCACCGGCUAACUCUGUGC
rnacentral:rRNA from 1 species